GAUUUAUUGUUCCUGGUUGUGUACCAUUAGACAGAAGUGAUGGGAUCAAUAAAACUUGGAAUUGUCUAACAAGAAAGGGCCAGUUUCUUGCUUAUUAUAUUUGUAAUAACAGAGUCCAUUGGGUAGCACUCCGGUCUGUGAAAGUCAGUGAAUCAAUAAUGCUCUUGUGGUCUGGAUAAUAAUAUACCUUGGCAUGGUGUGAGUGAUGCCAGCAGGUGGGCGGAGAGGCAGGGAAGGAAAGGUCUCAUGCCUUUCAGGUUGACACUAAGAAAGAGGCUUCCAUUCCUUUCCCUGUUCUACCACAUUCUCCUAAUGUGUAUAAGAAAUUAUUCAAAGACAGCAACAGAUUUCCCUCCUGACCUUUAUAGUUGCUGGUUUGGAAUGAUUUUUGGCUGCUUGCUGGAAAAAAAAAUUAUUGCAGAGAUGAAUUGUCAGGACAUCCGCUCCCCUUCCCAUCAGCUUUAUAAACAUUUUGUACUGGAGGCAGUGUGUGUGUGCAGAAGAAACGCUAUGGAAAGUGCUGUAGAAACAAGUGUGGUUUGUUGGCUACCAAAUCUCAAGGCUAUGCUCACUGGUCAGAAUGGUUGGUGUCCAGACCCCCAGCCCCUCAGAUUCUGAGAUGUCUGUGUACCAGGGUAGCACCAGGGAUGGGUUUUCUCUGAGACUGUCUUUUCAUGAUACAGUGUAAAAUGUUUCCCAUGAAAGGGCAGAGCUGAAGAAGCAGUGCAAGUCCAUUUGAAGACCUCUGGAAGGAAACCCCCAGCGGCUCUUUUUUCACUGAACAAGCAUUGUGGGAAUUUGGGGCUCGGCUGUGUAAUUUGUCCUCUUCUCAUUCAUUCAGGACAUGUUCAGCACCAGGAGGAAUUUGCAUCCAAGUCCGUCUCCCUGCUAAGUGGUAUUUUGAGAAUUCCGAAGCUUAGUCUCAGAGAAGAGCUGACCUGAACUUGCCGAGGCUCCCACUGCAUUGUAGCUUUUCUCUGGAGAACAAAAACUGCCAUUGUCCAGCAGCUCAUUAGCAUGACUGUACAGCCUCCGGAGUUAGCAAGGUGAUGCAAAAAUAAUAUGACAAGAUCCAUGUCUUCAAUGAGCUACAAUCCUACUGGGACAUGAGACUGUGCUUAUAAUAUGAUGAAAGAAUAAGAAAAUUUUAAAGAUGAAAACACAGCAGCAACAGGUGCCAUUUUGGAAGCAAGAAGCAGAGAACAAGCUCUCACUGGGCAUUAAAUCUGCCGGCAUCUUGAUCUUGAACUUCUCAACCUCCAGAACUCUGAGAAAUAAAUUUCUAUUAUUUACAAAUUACCCAGUCUAAGGUGUUUUGUUAUAGCAGCUCAAACAAAUUAAGAUAUCUGUUUAUUGCUUUUGGUAUGUGUUUGUGUUUUAAUUUUCUUGGAAGGUAGAGCAGAGAGACAAAAAUCACCAAAUUUUGGUGACAUGGUUGAAGCUCUGGGUCAAACCAAUCUUUGAGUCCAGCCUCUGAACCUCGCAUUAAAGUCCUUUAUAGUUUAGAUUGGUUAGGAUUAGGUCUCUUGAUGUUUGUUUUCACCUUGAGGGUUCCUAACUGCUACGGGGAGUCAGUGUGAUUUAACUCUAAGUGAAGAAGAACAGUUUAGAGGGAUGAUCCUGCACAUCUGCAUGGUGAUUGAAUUUAUGUCUCCUAUAAUUGUAUAUACAAAAUGAAAGUUUGGACUCUACAGGACAGGAGACUUUCCCCAACUUCUACCCUCCUUUAUCUUUUGCUGAUUAGUAUUGCAACAGGCACCUAACCAAACUCUCUGGCUCUGGGCCUGUGCUGUGUCUUCUAAUCUUCACACAGCUGCCAGCAUUAUCUUUAAAAGACAGAUCUUAUUA
rnacentral:lncRNA from 1 species